AAAAAACCCGGGAAAUUGGGAAAAAUCCUUGGGGAACCCGUCCUGGUGCUCCCAAAAUCCCAAAAUCCCGGGUUUUUUCCCCAAACUCCCAGGAAUCUCCUUCCCCAAAAUUCGAGGGUUUUUCCUCAAAAUCCCAGGAAUCUCCUUCCCCAAAAUCCCAGGGUUUUCCCCCAAAAAUCACAGGAAUCUCCUUCCCUAAAAUCCCAGGGUUUUUCCCAAAAAUCCCAGGGAUCUCCUUGCCCAAAAUCCCAGGGUUUUUCCCCAAAAUCCCAGGGUUUUUCCCCAAAAUCCCAGGGUUUUUUCCGGAACCAUCCACGCGGAUCGACAGCAGCCCGUAACCGGGACCCCGCGCCGCUGACCGGGGAAAAAACCCGGGAAAUUGGGAAAAAUCCUCGGGGAACCCGUCCUGAUGCUCCCAAAAUCCCAAAAUCCCGGGUUUUUUCCCCAAAAUCCCAGGGUUUUUCCCCAAAAUCCCAGUUUUUUUCCUCAAAAUCCCAGGAAUCUCCUUCCCCAAAAUCCCAGUUUUUUUCCCAAAAAUCCCAGGGACCUCCUUCCCCAAAAUCCCAGGGUUUUUCCCCAAAAUCACAGUUUUUUUCCUUAGAUUCCCAGGGAUCUCCUUCCCCAAAAUCCAAGGGUUUUUCCCCAAAAUCCCAGGG